rnacentral:tRNA from 1 species
ACUAAGGUAGUUUAUUAAAAUAAUACGUUGUGGAAGUAUAGAUGUGUAGCACUCUUAGUA